CGGACCGGGCCGCCCCGGCGCUCCCGAGCCCGGCUCGCCGCCACCCAGCGGCUCGCGGAGCGGCGCGGCGCGGAGGGAGGAGUUUUCCCAGAACCGGACUGCCGGGAAGGCACGGAGACCCCCACGCCAGGAGCGGUAUUAUGUGUCCACCAGGUGCUGUGGAAACAGUAAAGGGUAAGACCUCAGCACCUACCCUCGAAAGGAAGAACUUGUCAUUUAGCUGGGAAGAACACUGCCAUAACGUGGGAAUCUGGGUGUUAAACGCACCAGCAGAAUUUAGCAUCUUGAGAGAUGCUAGAACCUCACUGAGCUCCUGUUUGGAAGUCUUCAGAACACUUUGAUUUAAAGUAAGGUGUUACCGCAUACCUCUGUCGUCCACCUUGUUGGGAGGGUGAAACCAAAGGACUUUUGAAAAGCUUUUUCGGAAAAAUCAAAUCCAACCUUUUUGGGCUCUUGUCACUUAGCUUUGAAUUUCGAUGGUUGUCCAGAUCUUAUCUCCCUCAUCAAACAGAAACUUCCUUGAAGAUUGAGUAAAUGUCUGAUUUAUCUCUCACCCAGCACCAACUUGGUGUCUGGGAUAGAUAAGUACAUGAAAAAUACUGAAAAAAAUCUAAAAUGCUAUCACAGAGGAUAUUGAAAAGAAAGUGCUAUAAAUGCCAAAGUUGUUUCUACAAGAGGUAUUCCAAAGAUGUUUUGAACAAUGACAGCAUCACUGGAGGAAGAGUGAAGGCAGCAGCUCUCAUUAGCAUAUAUAAAUUCUGGUAUGCUUGUUAAAUAAUGAGUCACAGGAGGACCUGGCCACACCUCAUACACAUGAAAAGAUUGCAAUACAGGACAGUGUAUAGGCAUUUGCCCUUUUAUAUAAUAAUCAUCUGUUGACUGAGCACCAUGCUAAGUGCAGGGGUAGGUCCCUGCCCUGUCCUCAAGAAGUUCACAGUCUAGGUGGGAAGAUGAGAAUUAUAAAGUUCAAUGGAAAACCAAAGUAAGGAACACUGAAAUUCAAGUUACAGAGUGGACAUUGAUCUAGUUCCUGAAGGAUAAAUGAGAAUUUACCAAAUUAAGACUGGAAUACUGCCUGGCCUGUGUGGCACAGUGGUUCAUUGUCGAACUAUGAACCAGGAGGUCAUGGUUCCAUUCCCAGUCAGGGCACAUACCCAGGUUUCCAGCUGGAUCCCCAGUGGGGAGCAUGCAGGAGGCAGCUGAUCAAUGAUUCCCUCUCAUUGGUGUUUCUAUCCCUCUCUCCCUUCUCUCAGAAAUGAAUAAAAAUUAAAAAAUAAAGACUAAAAUAACCACAAAGGUAUAGUACAGAGGGGUGGUUAGGAGAAGUCCUGUAAACUGGUGUGGCUAGAGAAUAGGAGCUGGGGAGAGUAGGUUACAGUAAGUGGGUGCCAUGCUGUGAAGAUCAUCGGAUUCCAUGCUGAAGAGGGGUAUCAAAAGCCCCUUUACACACAGGUGUGACAUAACCAGUACCAACAUCAGAAAGACCCCUCCGGCAACAGUGUCAGGGCUGCAAGGGGGAAUCAGGUGCCUUAAACUCAGGCAGUGGUCCUGAGGCUGAUAUGGGAAAGGGUGUAGGAAAUAGUCCAGAGUUGAAAUAAACAAGAACAGGUGACUAAGUGGGCUGUGAGGGUGAGAGAAGAAACAAAAAUCACUAAAUUUUGACAACUGAACUAUUGGUGGUACCAUUAACUGAGACAAUUCAAAUAGGAGAAACAGGGUGAGGUAGUAGGUGGGUCCAGCCAGGUUCAGAGGAUUGAGGGGAAGGCAGGACAGAGCCUAGGGUGGAGACAGAACAACCUUUGAGUGUCACUUCAGCACAGACUACUGAGAGGAAAUUUGGAGAUCAGACAAUUAUUCCCAAAUUUUAACUGUCAAGACUAUAACUGGUCCUAGCUGCAAUGGUGUGACCUCAGACUUCAGCCUCCUGGUCCAUGCCCUUACAGGCUUCUAGAGAGCUCUGUGCUUUCAGAAAUGGCAUGUUCCCAAGUUGUUGAGGUCCCUCUGGCUAAAGGAAAGUUCUUAGAUGUAGAAAUUGUGAAGGGUGAAAGACCGAUUUUAUACUGAUUUUUAUGUCCUGCCCUUACUAGGGGUAUUUACAUUUAAUAGACAGGACUUUCAUUCCUUGACCCUCAGGAAUAAAUCUGUUGGUGGAAAUAUUUCAUCUCUCUGGAUCCAGCUAAUAGAAAUGCAUAUGGCUGCCCUCAAAUGACAACAUGUAGUCCACAACUCCCCUCACUUCCUAGUGAUCCAGACCACCUAGUCCUCACUCAGGUGCAGAAAGGUGGAUGUGGUCAGAGCCCCUCUUGAUGUAGGGAGGGUAUCUGUGUUGUCUCUACUCCAAAAUGAAGGUCAAAAAUCAUACUAAUUAUUCUUAUGUUGUUUGAUAUAAUUUGCAUUUCUUUAAUAAAUUUUGUUUUUCCAA